UGAACGCCGGGUGAGCUACCCGGAUGGCUCUUCCGGUUCUUUGUGCGGCCUUCACCCAGUGAGGGAGCCUGUGCCCCCUGCCCAGUCGCUUUCGGGGCGCUGAGGAGCUUCCGCUGCCAUCUUCGGAUGCUGUGUCCCGCACGGAGGGUCCACCAGGGCAGGGAUAGUGGUUCAAACAAUACAGAAGUGUAUAAAGUAAGAAUUGAAAGUCUCUUCGCUGCUCUAAUCUCACUCCUCAGAGGUGAUCACUGGACCUGAGUGAGCAGAAGGCUUUUCAGAAUUACAGCCUGAACUAUUUCUUGAGCAAUUUGGGAACUCAUUUCUAAAGCAGUCCUCAGAUUCACACAACGUAGUUUGUGACGGAGUAUGCCCAGAGCAGUGUGGAAGAUGAUCAAAGUAUGACAUUUCUUCUACCCCAGAGGCUGGCAUUUCUGCAGGCACAAAUGAGCUUGGUUUUCAAGCACUGCUCUUUGAACACAAGGAAUUCCUUUAAUGAUCACGCCGGACUAUAUAGACUUUGGAAUCAGACUCUUUGAAUUCCAGCUCUGCCAUUUACCAACUUUGACACUUUGGACAACGUCUCAUUCUGUCACCCAGGCUGGAGUGCAGUGGCACAAUUAUAGCUCACUGCAGCCUCAAACACCUGGGCUCAAGCAAUCCUUCCACCUCUGCCUCCUGAGUAAUUGGGACUACAGGCAUGUGCCACCACACCCAGCUAAUUUUUAAUUUUUAAUUUUUUUGUAGAGAUGGCGGUCUUGCUAUGUCACCCAGGCUGGUCUUGAACACCUGGCCUCAAGUGAUCCUCCGGCCUUGGUCUCUCAAAGCUCUGGGAUUACAGACAUGAGCCACUGCACCCGGCUCUAUCUCCCCUUCCUAUGUGUGUUAGCUCUAGAACAAGAGAAGCCUUGUUGAGAUUCCUGGCUGCCCACCCCCCAUCACCUCUCUGACUUUGGGCAAGUUGCCUGGCCUCUCUCAGCCUUUAUUUUCUUUUUGUGAAAUGGGGAUAAUAAUAGUACUUGCCUCAUAGGCAAAAUGUUGUGAGAACUAAACGAGAAAAUGCAUGUAAAGCACUUGGCACUUAGUUCUUUUUAUGAUUAUAAUGAUAAUCAGACACAAUAAAUUAUGUCUCACAUCACAUGC
rnacentral:lncRNA from 10 species